UACGUAGGUGGCAAGCGUUAUCCGGAAUUAUUGGGCGUAAAGCGCGCGUAGGCGGUCUCUUAAGUCUGAUGUGAAAGCCCCCGGCUCAACCGGGGAGGGUCAUUGGAAACUGGGAGACUUGAGUGCAGAAGAGGAGAGUGGAAUUCCAUGUGUAGCGGUGAAAUGCGCAGAGAUAUGGAGGAACACCAGUGGCGAAGGCGGCUCUCUGGUCUGUAACUGACGCUGAGGUGCGAAAGCGUGGGGAUCAAACAGG
rnacentral:rRNA from 1 species